CGAACACCGACACGGACAGCGGGCCCUCCCAGCGCUCCAGCAGACCCGACAGGUGCAGCAGGUUGUCCACGCUGGCGUGCGUGGCCAGGAUCACAUCGUUGGGGUCCAUGGUGGUCUUCAGCAGGCCCCUGUAGACGCGGUAAUCGCCGCUAGCGUCCAGGACGCCUCCAGAGGCCAGCGCGGUGCGGAGCUGCGCCUUGACCUGGUCCACGGACCGUGGGGACGGGGGAAAGAACUCAAAAUAUUGGUCUUGCUCCUCCUGCCCGUGCAGUCCGGACAGCAGCGACAGGUAGAGCAGCUGCAGCAUCGCCACCAGCAUGAGCGCGGCCAGCAGCAGCUGGUAGAAGGCGCACCGGAUGGCGUAGGACAUCUGCAUGGCUCUCGGGGCUCGGGGCGCGCAGCAACGACCACCCGGCCACAGACUACGCCAGCGGCCGCAAGCCCGGAUUUACCGCAGCCUGCCGAGCGCAGCCGAGGCGAGCCGAGGCCAGCCGAGCCCCGAGCGCCGCCCCGCCCGCCGCCCGCCGCCCGCCGCCCGCCGCCCGCCACCGCCCCCAGCCCCCGGCGCGCCGGCUCGCCCCCUACGAGGGAGGAGGAGCCACGGCCCCGCCGCUCGGCCGCGCGCCGUGCAGACGCCCGCCCGCCCGGGCCCCGCCGGCUUCCCGGGACGCACUCCUCUCCCUCCCCGCCGGCGCGCGCACCCUGGACCGGGCGCGCCCUGAACGCGCGGCGCGCUCGGCCGGACUCGGAGGGAAACCGCGGCAGAGCUCGGCUGCAGCGUGGUAAAGGAUGGCGCGGGCUCAGCAGAAAGGAAAUCAAAACGCUCCCUUCCUUCCGCGGCUUCUUCUUUCCCUGUGUCCGAAGAGGUCUGCGUUGCGACUUACGUGGUAGUGCUUGGAAGGUGCGGAGUAGAUGAGAGAUAAGUGAAUGUGGACAAACCUGUCACGUAGGACGAGGUGGCCGAGUGGUUAAGGCGAUGGACUGCUAAUCCAUUGUGCUUUGCACGCGUGGGUUCGAAUCCCAUCCUCGUCGGCCCUGUUUUAUAGAGGUUGGGGGGGAAGCAUCUACAUUUUCACAUCCUGCCUAUUUGGAGCAGCAAGCUGGAGGUGCGAGGGGUGAGGCAUCUAAAUUUUCACAUCCUGCCUGUGGAGCAGCAAGCUGAAGAAAACUGAACUGGGGAUUGAAGGUGGCGGGUUCCUGUAGUCCCAGCUACUCAGGAGGCUGAGGCAGGAGAAUGGCAUGAACCCGGGAGGCAGAGCUUGCAGUGAGCCGAGAUCGUGCCACUGCACUCCAGCCUGGGUGACAGAGCGAAACUCCGUCUC
rnacentral:lncRNA from 1 species